GAGGUGUCAUUCUUAGGAAGUACGCCACUAAUUGAGGAAGGAAUAUUUGA
rnacentral:sRNA from 1 species